rnacentral:lncRNA from 1 species
AGAGAGAGAGAGAGAGAGAGCUGUGAACCACAGGCAUGUGUGUAACUUUAAUCAGUGGUUCUCUGUGGAAGUGAGGCAGACGUUAUGCUAUUGUGACUGGGGAGAUGGCUCAGCAUGAACAGCACUGGCUGUGCCAGCUUAAGGAACCAGGUCUGGAUUUCCAUAACUAAUGGCAAAGCUGGAUGUAGGCAGCAUGAGGCCCUAAAAUCUCAGCACAGCUAGACUAAGGGAGCAGGCAGAGACGGGAGAAUUCCCUGAAGUUCCGGCUCUGGCCUACACAGAGGGGAACAACAGAUCUCAUCUCAAACAAGUCAAGGCAUCAUUGUACUGAAACAACAUCAAGGCAAAGCAUUGGACCACCAGGUGUCUCAGGCUAGCUCAUGCUGAUAAAAGAUGUGGAGGCAAGUAAGGAAGCACGAGAUUGACUCACAGGAAC